rnacentral:rRNA from 1 species
UGGGGAAUUUUCCGCAAUGGGCGCAAGCCUGACGGAGCAACGCCGCGUGAGGGAGGAAGGCCUGUGGGUCGUAAACCUCUUUUCUCAGGGAAGAAGGACUGACGGUACCUGAGGAAUCAGCAUCGGCUAACUCCGUGCCAGCAGCCGCGGUAAGACGGAGGAUGCAAGCGUUAUCCGGAAUUAUUGGGCGUAAAGCGUCCGUAGGUUGUUUUAGAAGUCUGUUGUUAAAGCCCACAGCUCAACUGUGGAUGGGCAAUGGAAACUGUAAGACUAGAGUGUGGUAGGGGUAGAGGGAAUUCCUAGUGUAGCGGUGAAAUGCGUAGAUAUUAGGAAGAACACCAGUGGCGAAGGCGCUCUACUGGGCCAUAACUGACACUGAUGGACGAAAGCUAGGGGAGCGAAAGGGAUUAGAUACCCCCGUAGUCC